rnacentral:ncRNA from 12 species
CCUUUGGAGAACUAUAUAAACAAGAGUAAUAAUGAUGAAUUAUAUAAUGAUGAAUUAUGAAAUUGGGUUCGUUAAAUAAGGAA